GAUGAACGCUGGCGGCGUGCCUAAUACAUGCAAGUCGAGCGAACGGACGAGAAGCUUGCUUCUCUGAUGUUAGCGGCGGACGGGUAAGUAACACGUGGAUAACCUACCUAUAAGACUGGGAUAACUUCGGGAAACCGGAGCUAAUACCGGAUAAUAUUUUGAAUCGCAUGGUUCAAAAGUGAAAGAGGUCUUGCUGUCACUUAUAGAUGGAUCCGCGCUGCAUUAGCUAGUUGGUAAGGUAACGGCUUACCAAGGCAACGAUGCAUAGCCGACCUGAGAGGGUGAUCGGCCACACUGGAACUGAGACACGGUCCAGACUCCUACGGGAGGCAGCAGUAGGGAAUCUUCCGCAAUGGGCGAAAGCCUGACGGAGCAACGCCGCGUGAGUGAUGAAGGUCUUCGGAUCGUAAAACUCUGUUAUUAGGGAAGAACAUAUGUGUAAGUAACUGUGCACAUCUUGACGGUACCUAAUCAGAAAGCCACGGCUAACUACGUG
rnacentral:rRNA from 1 species